CUUCCUGCUUCAUUGAUCUUGAUGAAUAUGAGUGUUACAAGAGUUGAUCUACCACGAGAUCGUAAUGGCUAAACCCUAGAAGUCUAGCCUAUGAAUAUGGUAAUGAGUAUAUGUGUUAUCCUUUCCGGACUACCCCCUACAGUUUAUAUAGACAUCGAGGGGAUCUAGGGUUUACAUGGAGUCGGUUACAUAAGAAGGAAUCUUCGGUCGCCAAGCUUGACUUCCACGCCAAGUAGAGUCCAAUCCGGACACGGUGUAGUCUUCGAUCUUCAUGUCUUCACAGCCCAUCAGUCCAGCCCAUAGAUAACAGGCCGGACGCCCGAGGACCCCUUAGUCCAGGACUCCCUCACCUACGCCAGUGGCCGCACCUCGCGGCCGAAAUGUUUGAAACUUCUCCCCGCUUCUCGAACAAACGGAUGAAAACUCACAAACCGACGCACAAAUGAUCUGUACACCUUUCUUUGCUAGGCUGAUAGUAAGGGGCUAUCAUAGCUAGUAUCAUGCAUGCCAACUAGGCAAUUUUGAUGAGCUGUCAUAGAAUUAAAUGAAGAAAGAGAGGGUUAAGGAUCAUAUCAUGAAACCGUAUCAUAAUAAAUGCUAUGCUACUAUGUGUCAUGCAUGAGACUAGCCACAGUGAGAGUAACUUCAGCAGUAACAUCGACUCCAACUCAGCAAACUUGCUUAUGUGGCAAUAAGUUAAUGAGGAGCGAGAUAGUUUCAGUAACUUAGCUAGUUACUGUAACAUCACAUGUCCCAAUGUAAUAUGAGUCUGUAACCUAAUAAAUGAAGCUUUGCAUGACACUACACUUAUGUUACUACCCACUAUGAAGGUAGUAACAUAGUCUAGGGAUAUGUGUAUGUUACUAGUGUAUGUUACUCUCCAUUGUGGCUAGUGUGACAAUAAGUAAAGUACUACAUAUGAUACUACUCUAUGAUACUAUGCAUUGGACUAGCCAUAGUGGGAGUAACUUCAGCAGUAACAUCGAGUCCAACUCAACAAAUUUUCUUAUGUGGCAAUGAGUUAAUGAGGAGAGAGUUAGUUUGAGUAACUUAGCUAGUUACUAUGACAUCACAUGUCCCAAUGCAAUAUGAAUCUAUAACCUAAUAAAUGAGGCUUUUUCAUGUUACCAUACUUAUGAAAGGUACAUAGUCUAGGGAAAUGUGUAUGUUACUAGUGUAUGUUACUCUCCAUUGUGUCUAGUCUUAAUUAGAGCAAGUACAAUAGAGUGACAUAAGCAGGCUACAAGGAAUAGAAUAAUAUAUAUGUGCUUAUUAGUUGGAGGAAAGAGAAGAGGAGAGAGAAGAGAAGUGGGCUCUUGGUUAGUAGAGCCAGCUGCAACACGAGACCCAAGACACUUUGUGAGGAUGUAAGGUGGGCCAACUAUUGAUAAACUAGUACAUAUUUAAAAAUUAUUAUUGUACAUGCCGGCUAAGAGGUUGGUUGUAUAUGACAUGGCAACUUCUUAUUGUCGACCGUUGGUUGUAUUAUUAACCAUGCUCUUAGUGAGGUAGCUAGUACUCCCUCCAUCCGGUGAAGAGUGUACAUCUAGAGAUUUUAGGACAAAUUAUGGAGUGAAGUAAGAAAUGCAUUGGAAAAGUGCAAGCCACCAUCUCUCUCCUCUUUAAUUAACUAACCCCGAAUGAGCUAAGUGCAUGUAGAAAUUAAGAAGACCGUGUGUAUAUUGUUAUUGGUCUUGAUUAUCGUGUGAUGAGAGAGAAGUAUUUUUUUCUACUUUAAAGUGCAUUGGGAAGAUAGAAGUACACUCUUUUGUGGAUAAAUUUUGAAGCCAAAUAUACACUCUUUACCAGACGGAGGGAGUAUAUCGUAUAUAGACUAGCUAGUAUCAUACUCCCUCCUUUUCGGUUUAUAGGGCUCAAUUCAAAAAUCUCACCAACCAAGGUAGAUGGUGAGUGGUGGAAUACUUUUUGUAGUUUGCAAAAACACCCAAUUAAUGCUUUUUUCCUCAAAAAUUAUGUUUACCAAUGUAUUAAUUGCAAUACAUGCAUGCAUAAAGUACAUCCAUUGGUCAAUUUUCUCUCAAUACUUGCAUGCAAUGAUUUAAUGCACCUUGGAAUCUGAACAUGUGAUGGGGAACAACCAAAUUGAGCCUUAUAAAAUGGAAAAACUAAAAUUUUGAGAUAAUCCUAUAAACCGGAAAGGAGGGAGUAUAUAUGCAUGAUACUAGUAUAUGAUCGGUAAUACCUCUGUAAUGCGCGCAUGCAUAGUAUCAUAAGUUAGUAUCUUAGGUUGCCUUAUUAAUUGCCAUGAUAUCAUGAUACUUGCAUGACACAAAGUAGUACAACAUUUAAUAUGAUAUGGUAUCAUGAUAUGAUACCACACCCUCUCUUUCCUCAUUUAACUGUGUGCCACAUUAUCCAAAAAGUCUAGUUGGCAUGCAUGAUACCGCUUGAUAUUCCCAUAUUACGACCAACCUUAGGGUGUCCAUAGUGGGGGUAUCAUAGUCGGUAUCAUGCACUCGGGAAUAGCAAAUAUGAUGAUGUGGCAAAGAAAUAGUAACAUAUAUAUAUAUAUAUAUAUAAUAAUAAAUGCUAUACUACUUUGUGUCAUGGAUGGCCAUAAAUACGGUCAUCUAUGAUAUAUACUACUCUAUGAUACUAUAUAUGCACUAUGAAGGUAAGUACGUAGUAUCAUGCAUACACUAGUAUCAUAUGCAUGAUACUAUAUAUAGUGUAUGAUACUCCCCACUAUAUAAGGCUGGCCAUAGUGGUGGUAUCAUAGCUGACGAUGUCAUGCACUUGGAAAUAGCAAGUAUGCUGAUGUGGCAAAGAAUUAAAUAUAUAGAGAGAGGGUUAGAGUAACAUAUAGGUAAAUACCGUAUCAUGUUAAAUGUGAUGCUAAUUUGUGUCAUGCAUGGCAAUAAAUAUGAUCUAUAUAUGAUACUAUACUCUAUGUAUUAUGCUAUGCACUAUAAUUAAUUAAAGGUAGUAUCAUACACUAGUAUCAUAUAUAUAUAUAUAUGCAUGAUACUAGUAUAUGACACUCUCCACUAUGAGUAGCCUAAGUAUAUAUAGCCUAACUAAAACACCCACAUGUAGUUGUAGUAGGGUUUUUGACUUUAAUUAAUUAUAUGCACUAAAAUGCAAGGUAAGUGCAAAGAAUGACUUAAGCAUAGCAGACAACCUGAAAUGGGCCGGAACGAUGUAUCUAGUACCUCUACCACCUUAGGUAGUGGUGGUGUAUUAAGCCCGUGUAUUUCUUUAAUAGGAGGUAAAUUUUUAACAUCCUCAGCUUUAAUACCUUUUUCCUUCAUAGAUUUCUUUGCCUCUUGCAUAUCUUCAGGACUGAGAUAUAAUAUACCCCUCUUAUUCGGAGUGGGUUUAGGUGGUGGUUCAGGAAGAGUCCAAUCAUCAUAAUUUUUCAAUAUGUUAUUCAAUAAUUCUUCAGCUUGCCCAACAGUUCAUUCCCUGAAAACACAACUAUCACAACUAUCUAGGAAAUCCCUAGACACAUCGGUUAGUCCAUAAUAAUUUCUCUAGAUCAUCUCUAUCCUUACAUGCAAGAAUAUGUCUAGUUGUCUCCUCAUUUAUAACAUAACCUUCCGGUACCUUAGGCAAUGCAUAUCUAGGAAGGAUAGUUCUAGCAGGUGUUUCAAGAUUUUCAGUUUCAAGCUCAUCAUCAGAUUCAACAACAUCAUGUUGAAUUACUCUAGCAAUUUUUUCAUCAAAAAAAUCACCAAGUGGCACAUCAUUAUCAUCAAGCAAGGUACUAGCAUCAUCGUAAGCAUCAUUCAUAAUAGAAGUAGCAUCAUCAAUAACUUGUGACAUAUCAGGAUUAAUAGCAUGUGGUGGUGUUGCAAGUUUACUUAUAACAGAAGGUGAAUCUAAAGCAGAACUGGAUGGCAGUUCCUUACCUCCCCUCGUCUUAGAGGGGUAAAUCUUAGUCUUAGCAUCCUUCAGAUUCUUCAUAGUGUUAAAUUGAUAAUAAUCCAAAGCGACUCAACAAAUAUAGCUAUGCUCCCCGGCAAAGGCGCCAGAAAAAGGUCUUGAUAACGCACAAGUAUAGGGGAUCGCAACAAUUUUCGAGGGUAGAGUAUUCAACCCAAAUUUAUAGAUUCGACACAAGGGGAGCCAAAGAAUUUUUGCAAGUAUUAGCAGUUGAGUUGUCGAUUCAACCACACCUGAAGAUUAAUUAUCCACAACAACGUGAUCAGUAAAAAAGUAAUAUGAUAGUUUUGAUAGUAGUGACAAUAGCAAUAGUAACAGUAACAAUGAUAGCAAUAUUUUUUGUGUCAAGUGCAACAGUAAUGAUAGCAGUAGUAACUUAGCAAGAACAAUAUAAGAUAAAUUCAUAGGCAUUGGAUUGGUAAUUUGUUGGAUGAUAUUCAUCAUAUGACAAUCAUAACCUAGGGCGAUAUGGAACUAGCUCCAGUUCAUAAAUAUAAUGUAGGCAUGUAUUUCGUAAAUAGUCAUACGUGUUUAUGGAAACAACUUGCAUGACAUUUUUUGUCCUACCCUCUCGUGGCAACGGGGUCGAAAUGGAAACUAAGGGAUAUUAAGGUCUCCUUUUAAUAGAGAACCGGAACAAAGCAUUAACACACGGUGAAUACAUGAACUCUUGAAACUACGAUCAUCACCGGGAGUGAUCCUGACUAUUGUCACUUCGGGGUUGCCGGAUCAUAACACGUAGUAGGUGAAUAUAACUUGCGAGAUCGGAUCUAGAACAUGUAUAUAAUGGUGAUAACAUAAACGGUUCAGAUCUGAAAUCAUGGCACCCGGGCCUAAAGCGACAAGCAUUAAACAUGGCAAAGUCAUAACAACAUCAAUCUCUGAACAUAGUGGAUACUAGGGAUCAAGCCCUAACAAAACUAACUAGAUUACGUGAUGAAUCUCAUCCAACUCCUCACCGACUAGCGAGUCUACUAAGGAAUUACUCACUCCCGGUAGGAGCAUCAUGGAAUUGGCGAUGCAAAAGGGUUGGUGAUGACGAAGAAUGAAGAUCCCCCUCUUCGGAGCCCCAAACGGACUCCAGAUCUGGCCUCCCGAUGAAGAAUAGGAGGUGACGGCGGCUCCAUCUCAUGGAUCACGAUAAUUCUUUCUCCCUGAUUUUUUCUGAAAAAAUAGUAUUUUAUAACGUCGGUUUCAGGGUCUACGGGGCCACCAGAUAGGGAUAACCCACCUGGGCGCGCCUGGGGGGGGCAGGCGCGCCCUAGUGUGUUGUGCCCAACCAGGUGCCCCCCUCAGGUGACUCUUGUCUCCAAAAAUUCUCUUUAUUGAUAUAAAAAAUCCUUGCAAAGUUUUAUUCCAUUCCGAGAACUCUUAUUUCUGCACAAAAACAACACCAUGGUAGUUCUCCUGAAAAUAGCGCCAGCCCGGGGUUAGUUUCAUUCAAAUCAUGCAAAUUAGAGUCCAAAACAAAAGGAAAAGCAUUAGAAAAAGUAGAUACGUUGGAGUUGUGCAGAAUAGGUCUCUAAUAUUUGAUCCUUUUCUAACUGAGAAUUCCAGCUGCCGGCAUUCUUCCUCUUCAUGUAAACAUUAUAAAAUAAGACAGAAACAACAUAAGUAUUGUGAUAUAAUCUAUACCUAAUAUUAAAAUACGGAGGCUUUCAUAGUUCUCCAUAUGUCGUCUCUUUAUAUCCAUUGAUUUUUUGUUAACCACAAAGAUCGGCAGCUGAGAUUUAAAAAAAUACUAAUCAUACUAAUAUUUUACUUUCAUCUGUCCUGGACCGAGCGAGUAGCAAAAGAUAGUAGAUAGCAGAGUUCGAACCCAUGACCUACGAUCUGGCAGAGAGGCACCUUCCAACUGAGAUACAUAUAUUCAGCCGGGUUCGUUUUCUUAAUAGUCUCACACCGAUUCUGCAAACCAAAUUCAACCUAUUUAUAUAGGUUUACAAAUUGCCUUUCAACAAGCCUUGAGAAAGAAUUAACUCCACAAAACCUGUUGAUCAAUGCAUCUGACAAUUAAAUCGAGGAAAGGAGGAGGGACAUCAGUGGAAACUACUCCAUCUGUCACGGUGCGAAUAGGCUGGCAAUUAAUCAGGAAAAAAGGAAACUAGCAAUUAAUCAAGAAAAAAAGGAAAGAGAAAAUGGAGUGCUGCUGUUGCUGUGCUCUCCUUGCUACUGUGCACCUACCGGACCUCACCUCUCCCUACAUGGCCCAGCGCGGCACUGCCGGUGUUGUUGUUGUGCUCACCCUGGCUGGACACCCCGCGGCCGCAAUCUCCUCAUGGAGUCCUGGUGGCAAAACCUGCGGCGACAGGGAGAAUUGUUAGAAGAGGGAGGCGGGAGAGGGGGAGAGUUUCGUGGCAGGGAGGGGAGGACGUAGAGGAGGAAGAUGGAGGAAGAAGGGAGAGGAGUGAUGGAGGAGGCAAGGCAGUGAAAGAUGCUACAGCCGCCAUUAUUCCAAGAAGAGAGAGAUGUGGUGGGUGGGUGAGAUGUGAGAGAGAGCCAGAUGGGUGGGAUGGGGUCAUCCUCUUUUCCAGCAGCAUCGGCGGCUAUGUCGGAAUCGUGGCGGCUGUGCAGACUGUAUGUGACUCGUGGGCAUGGUGUGCGUGGCUGGCAUGCGGAGGCUCUGUCCAGU
rnacentral:lncRNA from 1 species